rnacentral:rRNA from 1 species
GACGAACGCUGGCGGCGUGCUUAACACAUGCAAGUCGAACGAAGUGGCGAACGGGUGAGUAACUCGUAAUCAACCUGCCCUUCAGCGGGGGACACCAGUUGGAAACGACUGCUAAUACCGCAUACUGAAGGAGGGGAUUGCGUCGGAUUAGAUAGUUGGAGGGGUAACGGCCCACCAGGGAGAGGAUCAGUAGCGGGUCUGAGGGGAUGAACGGCCAAAGUGGGACAGAGAAACGGCCCAGUGGCCUACGGGAGGCAGAAGGGGGGAAGCUUCCGAAAUGGAAGAAAGUCUGACGGAGCAACGCCGCGUGAGUGAUGACGGCCUUCGGGUUGUAAAGCUCUGUUAAUCGGGACGCGGUACCGGAAUAGAAAGCCACGGCUAACUACGUGCCAGCCGCCGCGGUAAUAC